GGAGGCGGAUAGGUGCUGGUGUGCCUGCUGGACUUCAAAUCCAGUUGGGGGCAAUAUUUGUCCUCGGUAGGUUCGAUUCCUACACGCCUCC
rnacentral:tRNA from 1 species